GUGGGGAAUAUUGCACAAUGGGCGAAAGCCUGAUCCAGCAAUGCCGCGUGAGUGAAGAAGGCCUUCGGGUUGUAAAGCUCUUUUACCCGGGAAGAUAAUGACUGUACCGGGAGAAUAAGCCCCGGCUAACUCCGUGCCAGCAGCCGCGGUAAUACGGAGGGGGCUAGCGUUGUUCGGAAUUACUGGGCGUAAAGCGCACGUAGGCGGUCUUUUAAGUCAGAGGUGAAAGCCCGGGGCUCAACUCCGGAAUUGCCUUUGAAACUGGAAGACUUGAACACGGGAGAGGUGAGUGGAAUUCCGAGUGUAGAGGUGAAAUUCGUAGAUAUUCGGAGGAACACCAGUGGCGAAGGCGGCUCACUGGACCGUUGUUGACGCUGAGGUGCGAAAGCGUGGGGAGCAAACAGGAUUAGAUACCCGAGUAGUCC
rnacentral:rRNA from 1 species